rnacentral:snRNA from 1 species
GUGCUCAGUUCAGCAACACAUACACUAAAAUUGGGACUAUAUGGAAAAGAUUAGCAAGGAUGACAUACAAACUCAUGAAAUGUUCCACAUUUAA